GGGAAUAUUGCACAAUGGGGGGAACCCUGAUGCAGCGACGCCGCGUGAGUGAAGAAGUAUUUCGGUAUGUAAAGCUCUAUCAGCAGGGAAGAAAAUGACGGUACCUGAAUAAGAAGCCCCGGCUAACUACGUACCAGCAGCCGCGGUAAUACGUAGGGGGCAAGCGUUAUCCGGAUUUCCUGGGUGUAAAGGGAGCGUAGACGGUGCAGCAAGUCUGAUGUGAAAGGUCGGGGCCCAACCCCGGGACUGCAUUGGAAACUGUUGAACUGGAGUACAGGAGAGGUAAGCGGAAUUCCUAGUGUAGCGGUGAAAUGCGUAGAUAUUAGGAGGAACACCAGUGGCGAAGGCGGCUUACUGGACUGUAACUGACGUUGAGGCUCGAAAGCGUGGGGAGCAAACAGG
rnacentral:rRNA from 1 species